rnacentral:rRNA from 1 species
GAUGAACGCUGGCGGCGUGCCUAAUACAUGCAAGUCGAGCGAACAGACGAGGAGCUUGCUCCUCUGACGUUAGCGGCGGACGGGUGAGUAACACGUGGAUAACCUACCUAUAAGACUGGGAUAACUUCGGGAAACCGGAGCUAAUACCGGAUAAUAUAUUGAACCGCAUGGUUCAAUAGUGAAAGACGGUUUUGCUGUCACUUAUAGAUGGAUCCGCGCCGCAUUAGCUAGUUGGUAAGGUAACGGCUUACCAAGGCAACGAUGCGUAGCCGACCUGAGAGGGGAACGGCCCACCCGGGACCGGAAAACGGGCCCGACUCCCACGGGGGGCAGGAGGAGGGAAACUUUCCCAAAGGGGGGAAGCCCUGAGGGGGCAACGCCGGGGGGGGAAGAAGGGCUUUCGAUUCGUAAACCCUUUUUUUUAGGAAAAAAAAAAUGGGAAAGUAAUUUUCCCCGCUUGGCGGGACCUAAUCAAAAAAGCCACGGCAAACUCCGU